GCUUGUACAGGUCAGUGUACGAGAAGAACAAGAUGAAAAUCAACAUCGUGCCCGACAUGGUGGAGAUGGUGACGGCCAAGGACUCUCAGAAGAAAGUCAGCGAGAUCGACUACCGCCUGCACCUUCAUGAGUGGAUUUGCCACCCUGACUUACAAGUCAACAGUCACGUCAGAAAAGUGACAGACCAGAUCAGCGACAUUGUGUACAAGGAUGACCUCACCUGGCUGAAGGGCAUUGGUUGCUACGUCUGGGACACUCCUGAAAUUCUCCAUGCAAAACAUGCUUAUGAUCUACGCAACGAUAUCAAGUAUAAAGCUCAUGUGCAGAAGACGAGGAAUGACUACAAGCUGGUGACUGACACACCGGUGUACGUCCAGGCCGUCAAGAGUGGGAAGC
rnacentral:lncRNA from 1 species